rnacentral:rRNA from 1 species
UACAGAGGGUGCAAGCGUUAAUCGGAAUUACUGGGCGUAAAGCGCACGUAGGCGGUUAGUUAAGUUGGAUGUGAAAGCCCCGGGCUCAACCUGGGAAUUGCAUUCAAAACUGGCUAACUAGAGUAUGUGAGAGGGGGGUAGAAUUCCAAGUGUAGCGGUGAAAUGCGUAGAGAUCAGGAAGAACAUCGGUGGCGAAGGCGCUCUGCUGGACCAUAACUGACACUCAGGGACGAAAGCUAGGGGAGCGAAUGGG